rnacentral:rRNA from 1 species
CCUACGGGUGGCAGCAGUGGGGAAUAUUGGGCAAUGGGCGCAAGCCUGACCCAGCAACGCCGCGUGAAGGAAGAAGGCUUUCGGGUUGUAAACUUCUUUUUUCAGGGAAGAGUAGAAGACUGUACCUGACGAAUAAGCCACGGCUAACUACGUGCCAGCAGCCGCGGUAAUACGUAGGUGGCAAGCGUUGUCCGGCUUUACUGGGUGUAAAGGGCGUGUAGCCGGGUUGACAAGUGAGAUGUGAAAUCCUGCGGCUUAACCGCAGAACUGCAUUUGAAACUGUUGAUCUUGAGUACUGGAGAGGCAGACGGAAGUGGUAGGGUAGCGGUGAAAUGCGUAGAUAUUAGGAGGAACACCAGUGGCGAAGGCGGUCUGCUGGACAGCAACUGACGGUGAGGCGCGAAAGCGUGGGGAGCAAACAGGAUUAGAUACCCUAGUAGUC